rnacentral:lncRNA from 1 species
CUCCUCUUCUUCCUCUACGGCCGCCGGCACUUCCCCGCCAUAUUCCCGCGAUCUGAGGCUUCCUCGACUCCAAUCGUGUACUCCUUAGUCAUCUAAGUGAGCUCCUCUUUCUCCUGCACCUUUCCCAGUCCGUUUUGGUGCUCUGUAGUGCUCUAGCCACGUACGCGUGCUCCGGCUUGCCGCCGGUGAGCUGCUGCUCGUCAUCGCGCCGCUGCACCUAUAAGGAACCUGCGACGGCCUUCGUGACAUCUAGAUAUGCUCCGCGUUCCGCUGCUUUUACGCCGCUUAGCCGCCCUCCACCGCCUCUGUUGGUCUCCGGCGCCGGUGAAGAUGGACGUGCUGCCGUGUGUUCUAAAGGCUCCGCCAAUUGUCCUGUUAAGACGCUGCGCGUCCAAUCUGUAGGACGAUCUGCUCACCUGUCCCAGUGGCUUGCUCCUUCGUCCGUUUCCCAGAUCCCAGGCGACAGGAGUUCGAAUCCCCUCCGUUAGAAAUAAAUCCCCAAACUUUUUCCAGUUAUACGAAACUGACAGGUGGGACCCCUUGGUCAGUGACCGUAGGGACCAGUUCAGCGCGCCCCGCCGCGUCAGCCCUCCCGGGCCCGCUGUCAGUCUUACAGCUAGAUGCACCCGAGUCCCUUUAGUUUCUGUGUUUUGUUUUCCAAUUAAAAUUCCAGAUUAUUUGCUUUGUUCUUGUUUAAAUCAUAUCUUUUGCAUACCUUGUCCAAAUCAUGCAAACUUUAUAUGCAAAUUGUUCCGAAAAAUAUAAAGAAUCAAUAUGUGCCAUCUGUUUUCUGAAUUGAACUUGUUUAAUUCGUUUAAUUCAUACAAGUUGAUUCCUAACUCCAAAAUUGGCGAACCUUAUAUGAAUUUUGAUCACCAAGACCUUCUUAACCUGUUCAUGGCAUUCUCAUUCAUGAUUGGACAACUUGAACCUGUUGUUUAGUGUAAAACAUCUAAUUAAUGCAUAUGGAAUUUGAAUUCCAAUGCUUUAGAAAUUCCAAUCCAUUUAAUGUGAUUAGUGUAUCAACCACUUGCUGUUAAUAUGUCAUGCAUCAUCCCUCUGUCCCACAUCCUUCUUUGAAUGCGCAUAUUAAUUACCAUGUGAACUUGUAUGCUUAUACCUUCUUCUACUUCUAUGUUGUGUAUUUGCUUCUUCCUCGUUAGUCCUCGGUUCCUACGACGACGACUACGCUUGUGUUCUUCUUCCAGGAUUCUUGCUCAAUUUCGGGCAACUGAGUACUCCAGGCAAGCAGCCAUUCCUUCAUCAUGCUUCCUCACAAGGUGUUGAGGGGGUGAUAAAACGAUUAUGUUGUUUGGUGUUUAGUAAAUAGGUUAAUCACCCUGCACCUGGUAGACGCUUCUCUUCCUCUGAUUAGACGUUGUUAUUAGAGUGUCUCUCCAGAUAUUGUUGCUUCUGCAUAACCCCACCAUAUAUACCUCCUUUGAGACAUGUUACAUGAAUAGUAUAGUUCUCCGCGUAAGUCUUGCGAGUACUUUGUAGUCAGUUGCUUUGCAACGUUGUUUUAGAGAUUCCAGCAGAGCAGGUGAGCUAUCGCUUCGUGGAGCACGAUGUUGGAUUCGGUGUUUAGCCAGGAGAUCCAGAUCAAGGUUCUGAGACUUGUUGCGGGUUUCCUUCCAGCUUCCAGCUUCUUCAGGCCAUGCUGUAUUCUUGUCCGUACUCGGGCAUAGUUCGAUUUCCAUUGAUGUAAUGAUGUAAUGUUGGGACAUGUGUACUCUCUUUGUAAUAAUUGUUAUUCUGCUCCUUAUACUCUCUUCUGUAUAGUUUUGUAAUGAUAUUCAUGUUGCAAAAUCCUGCGAUGAGCACCAUGCGUGUUCUGCGUUGAAGUGUUCAUCGUGGGUUAAGAACAUGAGGCUUGAAUUAUGCAAAGAUUAGCAAUUGGGGCUAAAUUGCAUAAUUCCGGUCCCAAGCACCUACUAAGAAGUUGUUGGUUAUGAGUGUGUGUAGGAAAAUUGAUGCAUGAUAACAAGAGCACAGUUAUAUAG